GCGUAAGUCAGAGCCAAAGGGAGACUGAAGUUAGUUUCAGUUUUGAGUGUUGAGUUUGGGAGCUGAGGGGGAAGCAGAACAGCUCCCCUCUCCUCCCCACAAAGGGCAUCUUUGAACUGCUGUGGGAUCUAGUGCAUGAGUCAGGCAGUUCCAGCCCUGAGGAGAGAUCUGGUAGAAACUAGUGGAGAUCUGACCUGGCACCAACUACUGAGAGGCAGUCAAGGCCAGGGGCAGAUUACUGCACAGGCUGACGGGGGCUGUGCCCAAGGAUCCCGGACAAUUUGAGGACCCGUGCAGGAGCAGUUGAAACUCUGGCCAUGUCACUUUGCUCCUCCUCUCCCCCACCCUCUCCUCCUCUUCCCCCUGAGGCCCUGCCUCCAGCCCAGCCGGAAGCCAGUGGAAGCACCAGUCUCUCCAUCAUAUCUGACUUUCUGGAGUGGUAUCUUGGAGGCACUACACCUUCCAGAAUUUUAAUGACUUGUGCUGCACAACCCUCUUGCGAGCCUGCCAUCAUCAGACACUGCUGCUAACUAGCACAGAGAAGGCAAAGGAAGAGGGAAACAAAGAGACCAUUGUUAAAAGAAAGCAAGCAUAAAUAAAUUGAGUUUUCCUGCUGUACUUCUAAAAACUAGACAAAAAGCGCUUUCUACUCUGAAAGGAACCAUUUUUAUUAUGAAUUGUUCAUUCCAAGGGGCCUAUUGUUCUGCCAAUGAACACAUGUAAUUUACAUUUACAUUUAUGCAUGUGCAGUAGGAGAGGCUAUACCACAAUGUGUUGAAGACAUUCUAGCCCCAGAGACACUGCAUAUAUCAUAGCAUUUAUCUAUCUAUAGAAUCACCUGCCACUGUAGUUUCCGACUAACUUCUCCAGCAUCUGGUCUUAUUUAUUGACAAUUCCAAGGCAACGUUUUGCAGGGAUUUAUAGGUGAGAGUGAAUGCUCACUGAAGCCAGUGGGGUUUGGAUUGGACCAUAUGCAUAAACUCAGAUUAAUGCCAAUGACACAUAGCUUCCCAUCCACCAGUUUGAAAAUAUUCUUAAUACCGAGAGAAAACAGCAUUCUCCAAUCAGUUUGAUGGAGUUUAAAUGAAUCUCUGUUAGGGCCCAAGCCUGUACUCCAUGAAAUCAGUGGCAGUUUGAAAAUGGUGUAGUAAGUCUUAAUGAAUAAAUCGGCACAUCCUGCAGCCCGUACUUGGGCAAAGCUCCCAUUAUAGUGAUAGGCCCAAUGAAGUAAACAGGUUGGAGAUCCUUCGUUGAAAGGCGCUAUGAAUAGGAUUCUAAGUACAGUGAAAUCAGAGAGAGUUUUCUCAUUGACUUCAAUAGGCCCAAAUCCUCAAAAUGUAUUUAGGCUCCUAACAUCCACUGACUUCAGUGGAAAUUAGAAGCCCAAAUGCCAUUGUGGGUUCUAGCCUAUAUGGUGUGGGCUAUAUUGUGAAGUGUUCUUGCACAGGGGAGAAGUAUGCAAGGAGCAUUCCUGCCUGUGAGCAUAGGCGGCGGGUUAUAUUCUUCUGUGGUGCCCAAGUUCCAGCAAUAUUCAGGGCUGCAGGCUCUGCUCCACCAAUAUUUGGAGCUGGGUCUCUCCCCCAGCCCUGCCUGGAGCGGGCCCCGGCUCCCGUGGGUCUCCCCUCACCCCGCCACGUCCCUGCCUGGAAGAAAGCGGUGCGCACCCCUCCCGUGCCUGCUUGUGCUGCCUGUGUAGCACAUUCUGGUGAGGAGCCCCGUUCCCAGCAGCAACUGCUGUCUGCUUUCCCAGAGUCCUAGUGCCCCCUAUCAGUUAAUGGGAGGGCAGGCUGCCUUUACCCUGCCCUUCCACCCUAGCCCUGAGCCUCUCCAACACCCCAAACCCCUCCUCCCCAGCCUUCAUCCCCCCACACCCUGAUCCUCAA